GUCCACGCUGUAAACGAUGACGACUAGGUGUGGGUGGGUUCAGUCCCUUCCGUGCCGCAGCUAACGCAUUAAGUCGUCCGCCUGGGGAGUACGGCCGCAAGGUUGAAACUCAAAGGAAUUGACGGGGGCCCGCACAAGCGGUGGAGCAUGUGGUUCAAUUCGAUGCAGAGCGAAGAACCUUACCUGGGCUUGACAUGUAGGAAGUAGAAGCCGGAAACGGGGACGACCUGUUAAGUCAGGAGCCUACACAGGUGGUGCAUGGCUGUAGU
rnacentral:rRNA from 1 species